rnacentral:lncRNA from 1 species
AUGUGGGACGGCGCAGCCGAGGGGGGCGGGGGGGAACUUCUGUGCGUCCUCGUGCGUCGGGGCCGUGUGCGCAGCUCUACGGAAGGAGACCACGCAGGACGGCGUGGCCAAGGGGGGGUGGGGGGGGUCUGUGCAUCCCCGUGGGUCGGGCCGUGCACACAGCUCCCAGGAAGGAGACCACGCGGGACGGCGCGGCCAACAGGGGCGUUGGGGGCAUCCGUGCGUCGUCGUGCGUCGGGGCCAUGCGCACAGCUCCGCGGAAGGAGACCACGAGGAGGCACAGAUGCCGCAGGGCCGCUUGGCUGGCGAACAAUAGAUGUUACGAGAACGAACAAGGUGAAGGGUUCUCCGGUGUUUCUUGUCACGUCCCCACGCAACGAGCGGCGGCCGUGUGGCAUGCAGCAGCGUGGGCGGGGCACGCGGGGCUUCGGUCGGGCCUCCGUCGCUCGCGGGCUCCGGGUGGACCUGUCGGGGAGCCGAGGGGCUCGUAGCGAAGGUGCAGACCCCCGGGCCCUGCAGCACGUUCCGGGGGAAGCGCCCACAGGCUUCGCCAUACACAUUAUAGUGGGCAGAGCAAUGACUCUACGCACAGCAAUGCAGAAGAGCCGUGAGAGACAGAAUGCUGUCUCCCAAUCCAGGGUAUUUUCGAAGAGCUGCUAAUGUGGAACAGACUUCUAUAUAAAUUAUCAGCCUCUUUAACAUCAGCUUCCAAACGAGCUUAUAAUCAGAUCGAUUGACACAGAGAACAAACUCAUGGUUACCAGAGGGGAUGCGGAGGCAGAAGACAGGCAAAAUGGGUGAGGGGCUGGGAGAUACCGGCUUCCAAGUUCAAAAUGAAGAAGUCCUGGGAACAAAAGAUGCAGCACAGAGAAAAUAGGCAGGGGUAUUCCAACAGCACCCAAGGUGACAGGUGUUGGCCAGAGUUACGGUGAGCAGAGCUGUAAGGUGCUGAGAUGCUGAAUCCCUCUGUUGCACACCUGAAACAAAUGGAGCAGUGUGGAUCAACUGUACUGAAAAACAAAGUGAAAUAAAGUCAUUGGCCUUAAAGUUAGGAAAGAGUGU